GAUGAAGAACGCAGCGAAAUGCGAAAAGUAAUGUGAAUUGCAGAAUUCAGUGAAUCAUCGAAUCUUUGAACGCACAUUGCGCCCGCCAGUAUUCUGGCGGGCAUGCCUGUCUGAGCGUCAUUUCAACCCUCAUGCCCCUAGGGCGUGGUGUUGGGGAUCGGCCAGCGCCCGCGAGGGACGGCCGGCCCCUAAAUCUAGUGGCGGACCCGUCGUGGCCUCCCCUGCGAAGUAGUGAUAUUCCGCAUAGGAGAGCGACGAGCCCCUGCCGUUAAACCCCUAACUUUCUAAGGUUGACCUCAGAUCAGGUAGGAAUACCCGCUGAACUUAAGCAUAUCAAUAAGCGGAGGA
rnacentral:misc_RNA from 1 species